rnacentral:rRNA from 1 species
GACGAACGCUGGCGGCGUGCUUAACACAUGCAAGUCGAACGAAAAGAGGGCAAGAGCUUGCUCUUUCCGGGAUGGAGUGGCAAACGGGUGGGUAAAACGUAAACACCCUGCCCUCAGUACGGGAACAACAGACGGAAACGACUGCAAAAACCGAAUAACUGCCACUAGCGGCUUGGCCCAUGGGGGAAAAGGUGGCCUCUACGUGUAAGCUAUCGCCUGCCGAGGGGCUUGCGGCUGGUUUGCUGGCUGGAUGGGUAGCGGACCGCCAAGGGGACGAUCAGCAGGCGGUCUGAGAGGGUGGACGGCCACACUGGAACUGAGUGACGGUCCAGACUCCUUCGUGAGGCAGCCGUGGGGAAUCUUCCGUGAUGGGCGAGAGCCAGACUGAGCAACGCCGGGUGAGUGAUGACGGGCGUCGGGUUGUAAGACUCUGUGUUCCGGGACGAAAAGGGAGAGUGCGAAGAACAAACUGCAUUGACGGUACCGGAAAAGCAAGCCACGGCUAACUACGUG